UUUGAACACAUUAUUGGGUCACUGAGGAUGAGUGUCAACUUCAUUGUUUCCGGACCCUGAAUAAAUCGGCGGAACAAUAGAGAGCAUUAGGACCCUGGGGCGGGGAGGGCUUCCCCGCUCUCAUUAUCCAUUGAUUUGACAGCUCGAGCUGCGGACCAGUCACGGAGAGGAUGUGAGGUGGAGAAGGCGGCGGCUUGCGGUCUCUGGUGCGGUGCGCCGAAGUUUUGCGAAAUUUCUCCUCUGUUUGAAUCCCGACGGCAGGUCCAGUGCGAUGUCUGUCAAGCACAGCUGCUCAUCAUCCGACACGUUUUCGUCCGGAUAAACCCGAGCCGGCGUUUGGAUUUACCCGCUCCUCCUCCUCCUGCUGCUGCUGCGCGUUUGUAAGGUAGACGGAUCGAUUCACCGGAUCAGUCAGGCAGGACGCGGAAUCGGUUCCUCUGUGGACUUUCAAGAUUAUUCCCGGACUUGUUUCUUAUUUUCUGGGAGCUGUACCGGUGCAGCGAGUAGUCCCUCUCUGGACUUGGAAGUGAAGGAGGCUGGGGACGCACACGUGUUACCCUCUCUGUCAUCCUCCUGCGCUCUCUGGAUAAAAAGAAAAGUUGCCUCUUCUGUUUUGGGAUUUAGUUUGAGGCGUACAGAGAAAUAGUGACCGACAACAUGUCGCUCAGCAGAAGUAUUGAGUUUGAACACUUCGAGGAGCGAGAGAAGCCGCACCGGACGCCGAGGACCAACUCCGUGUCCGGGUCCCACUCGGGCUCCAGGGGGAACGGUCUGGUCCCCAGCCCGGCGCACAGCGCGCACUGCAGCUUCUACCGCACACGCACCCUCCAGUCCCUCACGUCCGAGAAGAAAGCCCGAAAAGUGCGCUUUUACCGCAACGGGGACAAAUACUUUAAAGGUCUGGUGUACGCCGUGUCCAGCGACCGGUUCAGGUCCCUGGAUGCUCUGCUCAUGGAGCUCACCAGGUCCCUGUCGGACAAUGUCAACCUCCCUCAGGGAGUCCGGGCGUUAUACGCGUUGGACGGAGGCAAGAAGAUCACCAGUCUGGAUGAGUUAGUGGAGGGCGAGAGUUACGUCUGCGCCUCGAAUGAACCCUUCCGACGGGUGGACUACACCAAGAACGUCAACCCCAACUGGUCGGUGGGCUGCAAGACCGGCACGUCGCGCUCCCUCUCCUCCCUCAUCCCGCUGAAGAACGAGCUGCAGCGCGAGUCCAAGGACUUCAUCAAACCCAAGCUCGUCACCGUCAUCCGCAGCGGCGUCAAGCCCCGCAAGGCGGUGCGGAUACUGCUCAAUAAGAAGACGGCGCACUCCUUCGACCAGGUGCUCACCGACAUCACAGACGCCAUCAAGUUGGACUCCGGAGCUGUGAGGAGAUUGUACACUUUGGAGGGCAAGCAGAUUACCUGCCUGCAGGACUUCUUCGGGGACGACGAUGUAUUCAUAGCGUGCGGCCCGGAGAAGUACCGCUAUGCCCAGGACGACUUUGUGUUGGAUCACAGCGGUAAGGCUUCCACAGCCUUUAUGACUGAAUGCAGAGCGCUGAAGUCGUCCCACAGCCGCUCCGCCACUCCGAACCGGUCUGCUAAGAGCCCCGCGCGACGCAGCAAGUCUCCCGGCGCAGCGAGGCAGCCCGUCCACUACUCCACCAGCCAGUCUCCAAUCAAAUCCCCAGUAAACGGUGUCUCAAACAGCCAGAUCUCGACUCCAAGAUCCACCAAGUCCUCCACCCCCUCUCCCACCAGCCCGCGACCCCUCCCUACUUUUAAGAUCCCCGCGUCACAUCACGUCUCGUCGCCAAAUGUAAACGGCUCGUUGAACAACCACCAGGAGCAAACCAACCGACUGAGUCCAGAGGUUAAUGGCAACCGCUACCCACCCGCCUCCUCCAUCUCGGAGAAGUACAAGAUCGGCAAGGUCAUCGGGGACGGCAACUUCGCCGUGGUCAAAGAGUGCGUGGAGAGGUCCACGGGAAAAGAGUUUGCGCUGAAGAUCAUCGACAAGGCCAAGUGCAGCGGAAAGGAGCACCUCAUAGAGAACGAGGUGGCGGUGCUGCGGAAGGUGAAACACCCCAACAUCAUCAUGUUGAUAGAGGAGGUGGACACUUCCUCUGAGCUCUACCUGGUCAUGGAGCUUGUCAAGGGAGGAGAUCUGUUCGAUGCCAUCACCUCCUCGGCGAAAUACACGGAGAGGGACGCCACCGCCAUGGUGUACAAUCUCGCCGGAGCCCUGAAGUACCUGCACAGCAUCAACAUCGUCCACAGGGACAUCAAACCAGAGAACCUGCUGGUGUUCGAGUAUCCAGACGGCACCAAGUCUUUGAAACUAGGCGACUUCGGUCUGGCCACCGUGGUGGAAGGACCUUUGUACACCGUAUGUGGAACUCCAACAUACGUGGCUCCAGAAAUCAUCUCAGAGUCUGGCUACGGUCUGAAGGUGGAUAUCUGGGCUGCAGGUGUCAUCACCUACAUCCUCCUGUGCGGCUUCCCUCCGUUCAGAAGUGAGAGCAACAUGCAAGAGGAUCUGUUCGAUCAGAUCCUCCUGGGGCGACUGGAAUUCCCCAGUCCUUACUGGGACAACAUCACUGACUUGGCCAAGGAGCUGAUCGGAAAGAUGCUGCAGGUCAACGUGGAGGCUCGAUACACGGCCCAAGACAUCCUCUGCCACCCUUGGGUCACGGACGACGCAGUCACCGGGAACAACAUGAAGAUGGAGGUCACAGGUAAACUGAAGACGCACUUUAACACUGCGCCUAAGCACGACAACACCACGGCCGGCGUGUCGGUCAUCAUGUUUGAGGUGUAAUCGUUGGGCCCCGGCCUCGGCCCAUCCUCCUCCUCCUCCUCUCCAUCCUCUUCCUCCUCCCUCAUCCUCACCCCUCCCUCACACCCCGACCCAGGACCACAGGGGACGCCUGGAGCUGAGAGCCGGAACACAGCUCUUGAUAAGGAGACCCUCAAGAUUCGACGUUGUCCAGGGCCCCAAACAGCGCCGUGCCCACCGUCAUCGGCCGGCAAGAAAGCCCCAUCUCCAGCCAAACAGCCGACCAAGUCAGGACCAGCUUCUCC